CCUACGGGAGGCAGCAGUGAGGAAUAUUGGUCAAUGGGCGUAAGCCUGAACCAGCCAUGCCGCGUGCAGGAAGACGGCUCUAUGAGUUGUAAACUGCUUUUGUACAAGGGUAAACCUGAAUACGUGUAUUCAGCUGAAAGUACUGUACGAAUAAGGAUCGGCUAACUCCGUGCCAGCAGCCGCGGUAAUACGGAGGAUCCAAGCGUUAUCCGGAUUUAUUGGGUUUACAGGGUGCGUAGGCGGAUUGAUAAGUGAGAGGUGAAAUGUCCGAGCUCAACUCGGGAACUGCCUCUAAUACUGUUGAUCUAGAGAGUAGAUGCGGUAGGCGGAAUGUAUGGUGUAGCGGUGAAAUGCUUAGAGAUCAUACAGAACACCGAUUGCGAAGGCAGCUUACCAAUCUAUAUCUGACGUUGAGGCACGAAAGCGUGGGGAGCAAACAGGAUUAGAUACCCCAGUAGUC
rnacentral:rRNA from 1 species